AUUGAACGCUGGCGGCAGGCCUAACACAUGCAAGUCGAACGAGUGGCGGACGUGUUAGUAAUGUCUGGGAAACGGCCUGAUGGAGGGGGAUAACUACUGGAAACGGUAGCCAAUACCGCAUACCAUCAGAUGUGCCCAGAUGGGAUUAGCUAGUUGGGGGGGUAACGGCUCACCAAGGCGACGAGCCGUAGCGGGUCUGAGAGGAUGACCAGCCACACUGGAACUGAGACACGGUCCAGCCUCCUACGGGAGGCAGCAGUGGGGAAUAUUGCACAAUGGGAGAAAGCCUGAUGCAGCCAUGCCGCGUGUAUGAAGAAGGCCUUCGGGUUGUAAAGUACUUUCAGCGGGGAGGCGUUACCCACAGAAGAAGCACCGGCUAACUCCGUGCCAGCAGCCGCGGUAAUUC
rnacentral:rRNA from 1 species